GCAAAACAUACUUUGAAUAAUUGAAUUCUAUAUAAUAAAUUUAGUUUAAUACACGGCACUAAAUACACGGUUUUCAAACAUUUGGAGUAUAUUUUAGUGUUUAUGGCGACAUUAAAAGGUAUCUGCUCUGGUUUACCGCUCAAACCACUUCCAUCAAAACAAACUCGGGACUGCAGCAUCCCUCAUGCACCAAAACGUAACACAAACCUUUCAAAGACAGAGGAAAUUGUAAGAGUAA
rnacentral:lncRNA from 1 species